GGGCCGGUAGCUCAGCCUGGUUGAGUCCGCUAAGCGGGCGCCAAAGAGCGUUCGGCUGAUAACCGAAAGGUCGAGAGUUCAAAUCUCUCCCGGCCCACCA
rnacentral:tRNA from 1 species